AGGAGGAAGUUUGUGUCUGAAGAGAGAAAAUUCAUCUUCAAAGGCUGUGGGGCACCUACAGGAUGAAAUAAAUGCUGACCGAUGAAGUGUGGAAUGACCACAGGAGUUACCUUCUGCGUGUGGGCACCCUUCUGCAAGCGUGCAGUGAACCACCCUGCCUCCUUCAAAUCCCUACUGAGAAUGUCUCUGCUCACAAAAGCAGAGGGAUGAGUCGCUCAGCGUCGCCAGGCCCUGCUGGCUGACCCAUAACUACUCCACUCUGCGGUACCUCUUAGCAAGAGGCUCGAGCAAACCAUCACUCGGCUCAUU